GGUCUAGUGCUGUGUGGAAGACUAGUGAUUUUGUUGUUCUGAUGUACUAUGACAACAAGUCACAGCUUCCUCAUAGCGUGGACU
rfam:Ailuropoda melanoleuca scaffold2610_14, whole genome shotgun sequence.